rnacentral:lncRNA from 1 species
UGAACGUGGGACACCAAUAAUGCAAUUUUCCUUUAGAAAAUUCUAUGACAUAUUCCCAUUCUUUUUCUUUUCCUUUUCUGGGGAUGUGAGUUGUAUAGCUUUGCAAUGGAUUUUGAUAUACAAUGUAUUGUUGACAUUGUAUCUUGCUUGUCGAUGAUUGGCUUCGUAGUCUAACAAAAUGUGUCUUUAUAAUAUUUGAUAUGUGCAGCAAUAGGUAUGGUGCAAAUCGCAGUAGAAGCCCCAAUAGAAAUUUAGUUUAACAGAAUAUGCUGAUGAAACUUUUUCCAAUUAGGAAGAGUAAGAGGAUGAAGCAGCAUUUGUGCUGAAGGCCGUAUGAUCUUUCCAGAUAAAAAAUUGCGUGUUUCAGGCCGUGAACAUGGACUGAUUAUUGAUAAAUUUUAGUCUUCUGACUUUGCAUUUUUUCCUCUGUUGUAUUCUUUGUCCUUGAAACCUAUUUGAAUAGUGCUUUAGCUACUACCGGGGAAUUUAUACUUGUGAUAGUAAAAUUAGGACUUCUUGUUAGACAUUGUUACAUGUGGACAACAAAGUAAGCUUCCUGUCCAAUGAAUUUACAGUUGGGUUUAUAAAUCUUUGUUAUAUACUUUGUUCUGUUAAGUAAUUAUUUAAACGUCUAUGAUCUCAACCAGUGUCUUGGUUACAUCUAUUUUAGAAAACAAGUUUAUGAUAAAUUUAUUCUAAUGCAU